AUCGCUACUCAGCCUUUUUGCUAAGAUCAAGUGUAAUAUCUGCCCCUAGUUGAAUAUCUGGUGUCCUCUCUCCAAGGAUAGUACAUUAACUUGGUUUUUGGAGCAGGGAGAUGAAAUAGGAGCUUGCUCCGUCCACUCCACAUAUCACCCUGGUAUUGAGUAUGUCCAGGAAUGGUUCACUCCCU
rnacentral:snRNA from 1 species